rnacentral:rRNA from 1 species
ACAGCAGCCGCGGUAAUACGUAGGGUGCGAGCGUUGUCCGGAAUUAUUGGGCGUAAAGAGCUUGUAGGCGGUUUGUCGCGUCUGCCGUGAAAAUCCGGGGCUCAACCCCGGACUUGCGGUGGGUACGGGCAGACUAGAGUGUGGUAGGGGAGACUGGAAUUCCUGGUGUAGCGGUGAAAUGCGCAGAUAUCAGGAGGAACACCGAUGGCGAAGGCAGGUCUCUGGGCCACUACUGACGCUGAGAAGCGAAAGCGUGGGGAGCGAACAGGAUUAGAUACCCUGGUAGUCCACGCCGUAAACGUUGGGAACUAGGUGUGGGUCUCAUUCCACGAGAUCUGUGCCGCAGCUAACGCAUUAAGUUCCCCGCCUGGGGAGUACGGCCGCAAGGCUAAAACUCAAAGGAAUUGACGGGGGCCCGCACAAGC